AGCUUGCUGCGUGUAUGGUUAGUGGCAGACGGGUGAGUAAUGCAUAGGAAUCUGCCUAGUAGUAUAGGAUAGCCACUAGAAAUGGUGGGUAAUACUGUAUAAUCCCUGCGGGGGAAAGAUUUAUCGCUACUAGAUGAGCCUAUGUCAGAUUAGCUAGUUGGUGGGGUAAUGGCCCACCAAGGCUGUGAUCUGUAGCUGGUCUGAGAGGAUGAUCAGCCACACUGGAACUGAGACACGGUCCAGACUCCUACGGGAGGCAGCAGUGGGGAAUAUUGGACAAUGGGCGCAAGCCUGAUCCAGCUAUGCCGCGUGAGUGA
rnacentral:rRNA from 1 species